GUUGGUUCUCAGGCAAGACUCUUCCGCCUCCAGAUGUGCUGCUGAAAUACACUUUUGAAGUUGUGGAAUAAUUUGGAUAAAAAUGGGUUUGGCAGAAUUAGUGUGGCAUCUUACUGCAGCGUUCAAGACAGUGAUAUGUACAACUAUCAAAAUGCCUGUCCCAUGUAAUAUUAUAUGCUUUAUAUUGAAGCAUAAUGAGACAGUAUAUUAAACACGUGGAUCAAUGCAGUCACUGCAAAAAAAAAUCACAGCCUUCCAAUUAAAGAUAAUAACCGUC